rnacentral:rRNA from 1 species
UACGAAGGGGGCUAGCGUUGUUCGGAUUUACUGGGCGUAAAGAGCUCGUAGGCGGUUUGUCGCGUCGGCCGUGAAAUCUCCACGCUUAACGUGGAGCGUGCGGUCGAUACGGGCAGACUUGAGUUCGGUAGGGGAGACUGGAAUUCCUGGUGUAGCGGUGAAAUGCGCAGAUAUCAGGAGGAACACCGGUGGCGAAGGCGGGUCUCUGGGCCGAUACUGACGCUGAGGAGCGAAAGCGUGGGGAGCGAACAGG